rnacentral:rRNA from 1 species
UACGUAGGGUGCGAGCGUUGUCCGGAAUUAUUGGGCGUAAAGAGCUCGUAGGCGGUCUGUCGCGUCUGCUGUGAAAUCCCGAGGCUCAACCUCGGGCCUGCAGUGGGUACGGGCAGACUAGAGUGAUGUAGGGGAGACUGGAAUUCCUGGUGUAGCGGUGAAAUGCGCAGAUAUCAGGAGGAACACCGGUGGCGAAGGCGGGACUCUGGGCCGAUACUGACGCUGAGGAGCGAAAGCGUGGGGAGCAAACGGG